rnacentral:rRNA from 1 species
GAUGAACGCUGGCGGCGUGCCUAAUACAUGCAAGUCGAGCGAACAGACGAGGAGCUUGCUCCUCUGACGUUAGCGGCGGACGGGUGAGUAACACGUGGAUAACCUACCUAUAAGACUGGGAUAACUUCGGGAAACCGGAGCUAAUACCGGAUAAUAUAUUGAACCGCAUGGUUCAAUAGUGAAAGACGGUUUUGCUGUCACUUAUAGAUGGAUCCGCGCCGCAUUAGCUAGUUGGUAAGGUAACGGCUUACCAAGGCAACGAUGCGUAGCCGACCUGAGAGGGUGAUCGGCCACACUGGAACUGAGACACGGUCCAGACUCCUACGGGAGGCAGCAGUAGGGAAUCUUCUGCAAUGGGCGAAAGCCUGACGGAGCAACGCCGCGUGAGUGAUGAAGGUCUUCGGAUCGUAAAACUCUGUUAUUAGGGAAGAACAAAUGUGUAAGUAACUAUGCACGUCUUGACGGUACCUAAGCAGAAAGCCACGGCUAACUACGU